rnacentral:rRNA from 1 species
AGAGUUUGAUCAUGGCUCAGGAUGAACGCUGGCGGCGUGCCUAAUACAUGCAAGUCGAGCGAACAGACGAGGAGCUUGCUCCUCUGAUGUUAGCGGCGGACGGGUGAGUAACACGUGGAUAACCUACCUAUAAGACUGGGAUAACUUCGGGAAACCGGAGCUAAUACCGGAUAACAUGUUAAACCGCAUGGUUCAACAGUGAAAGACGGUCUUGCUGUCACUUAUAGAUGGAUCCGCGCCGCAUUAGCUAGUUGGUAAGGUAACGGCUUACCAAGGCAACGAUGCGUAGCCGACCUGAGAGGGUGAUCGGCCACACUGGAACUGAGACACGGUCCAGACUCCUACGGGAGGCAGCAGUAGAGAAUCUUCCGCAAUGGGCGAAAGCCUGACGGAGCAACGCCGCGUGAGUGAAGAAGGUCUUCGGAUCGUAAAACUCUGUUAUUAGGGAAGAACAAAUGUGUAAGUAACUAUGCACGUCUUGACGGUACCUAAUCAGAAAGCCACGGCUAACUACGUGCCAGCAGCCGCGGUAAUACGUAGGUGGCAAGCGUUAUCCGGAAUUAUUGGGCGUAAAGCGCGCGUAGGCGGUUUUUUAAGUCUGAUGUGAAAGCCCACGGCUCAACCGUGGAGGGUCAUUGGAAACUGGAAAACUUGAGUGCAGAAGAGGAAAGUGGAAUUCCAUGUGUAGCGGUGAAAUGCGCAGAGAUAUGGAGGAACACCAGUGGCGAAGGCGACUUUCUGGUCUGUAACUGACGCUGAUGUGCGAAAGCGUGGGGAUCAAACAGGAUUAGAUACCCUGGUAGUCCACGCCGUAAACGAUGAGUGCUAAGUGUUAGGGGGUUUCCGCCCCUUAGUGCUGCAGCUAACGCAUUAAGCACUCCGCCUGGGGAGUACGACCGCAAGGUUGAAACUCAAAGGAAUUGACGG